GUGUGUAGAAGUAUUUUUUAAGUAUAGUUUUUUCUGAUAAACACCAUUCUCUGCUGGACAUAAAUCAAGGUUGCAUCAAGGUUUAUUUACUUAUUUUUGGUGUUGAAGGUGAUCCUAAUGGAAUGCAGAGACAUCAUUAGGUGAUAAUGCAAAGGCCAAGCACACACUGAAUAGUAGUAGUAGAAAUAAUAAUACAAUGUCUAUCUUAAAUGGAGCU